AUGGCGCCGGCGGCAAGCGACGUCUUGAAGAAAUCAGCGUUCCGGUGCCUCGGCGCGGCGCGCUACGUGGUGGCCGCCGCGGUGACCGUGCUCAUGGUCGCGGUCAUCAUGUAUGCCGUCAAGGUGGUCCACCGCCCCGAUGACCUCACCCUCUGGAUCGUCGGCGGCUCCGUGUCCGUGCAGCGAAGCCACAACCUGACCAGGCCGUUCAACUACAGCGUCGGCGGCGACAAUCUGACCUUCACAUACACCGUGAGGGCCGUCAACCCCAGCAGCCGCGUCCGCAUCUACUACACCGAUCUCAUCGUCUAUCUCCGCGGCAGGAACUCGUCGUCGGAGAUGCACAGUUUCUUGGCGCUAAUAUUCCCGAACAUGACAGUGGAGCACCAAUCCAGGGCCGACACGUCAGUGCUGGUGAGGACCAAUGUGCGUGUACCGUCCCAGGGGUUCUACUUCCAGGCGCUAGCCAACGGCGGCAGCAUCGCUGACGUGUCGCUCAAGCUCAACGGCACCCGCGUCGUCCAGAAUAUUUUCACCGAGCACAACAUGACCAGCGAGCAAGCCGUCUACUACUGCACGCCCAUCACCUUUGGCGGAGGCAAGUACGAAGACGGUGACGCCGGGGUCGAUGUACCGUGCACAGAGGAUGCCCCGACUACCAUUCUUGAUGAUCCCCUGCCUGUUAGCCAAUUGAAUUGA
rnacentral:rRNA from 1 species